AAAUAGCCCUGAUAGAAGCGGUAUCCUUUUUGUGCACUGAGCGAAGUCGAAGUGUGUUACAAAAAGAUAUAGCGAAUAGCAGGAUAAAGC
rnacentral:sRNA from 1 species